rnacentral:rRNA from 1 species
UUUGUUGGUGAGGUAACGGCUCACCAAGGCCACGAUGUCUAGGGGGUCUGAGAGGAUGGUCCCCCACACUGGUACUGAGACACGGACCAGACUCCUACGGGAGGCAGCAGUGAGGAAUAUUGGUCAAUGGGCGAAAGCCUGAACCAGCCAUGCCGCGUGAAGGAUGACAGCGCUAUGCGUUGUAAACUUCUUUUGUACGGGAAGAAACACUUCUACUUGUAGAAGCUUGACGGUACCGUACGAAUAAGCAUCGGCUAACUCCGUGCCAGCAGCCGCGGUAAUACGGAGGAUGCAAGCGUUAUCCGGAUUUAUUGGGUUUAAAGGGUACGUAGGCGGAAAAUUAAGUCAGUGGUGAAAUCCCGCAGCUUAACUGUGGAACUGUCAUUGAUACUGGUUUUCUUGAAUAUAGUUGAGGUAGGCGGAAUGUGUAAUGUAGCGGUGAAAUGCUUAGAUAUUACACAGAACACCGAUUGCGAAGGCAGCUUACUAGACUAUGAUUGACGCUGAGGUACGAAAGCGUGGGGAGCGAACAGGAUUAGAUACCCUGGUAGUCCACGCUGUAAACGAUGAUCACUCGUUGUUGGCGAUAUACUGUCAGCGACUGAGCGAAAGCAUUAAGUGAUCCACCUGGGGAGUACGACCGCAAGGUUGAAACUCAAAGGAAUUGACGGGGGCCCGCACAAGCGGAGGAACAUGUGGUUUAAUUCGAUGAUACGCGAGGAACCUUACCUGGGCUUAAAUGCAGAACGACGGACCGGGAAACUGGUCUUUCUUCGGACGGACUGCAAGGUGCUGCAUGGCUGUCGUCAGCUCGUGCCGUGAGGUGUCGGGUUAAGUCCCAUAACGAGCGCAACCCUCAUCAUUAGUUGCCAGCGGGUAAUGCCGGGGACUCUAAUGAAACUGCCGGUGUAAACCGAGAGGAAGGUGGGGAUGACGUCAAGUCAGCACGGCCCUUAUGUCCAGGGCUACACACGUGUUACAAUGGUCGGUACAAAGGGCGGCUACCUGGUGACAGGAUGCUAAUCUCGAAAACCGAUCUUAGUUCGGAUCGAAGUCUGCAACUCGACUUCGUGAAGCUGGAUUCGCUAGUAAUCGCGCACUCAGCCACGGCGCGGUGAAUACGUUCCCGGGCCUUGUACACACCGCCCGUCAAGCCAUGGAAGCUGGGGGUACCUGAAGUCCGUAAC